rnacentral:rRNA from 1 species
GCGGCGCGCUAACACAUGCAAGUCGAACGGAGUUGUGUUGAAAGCUUGCUGGAUAUACAACUUAGUGGCGGACGGGUGAGUAACACGUGAGUAACCUGCCUCUCAGAGUGGAAUAACGUUUGGAAACGAACGCUAAUACCGCAUAACGUGAGAAGAGGGCAUCCUCUUUUUACCAAAGAUUUAUCGCUGAGAGAUGGGCUCGCGGCCGAUUAGGUAGUUGGUGAGAUAACAGCCCACCAAGCCGACGAUCGGUAGCCGGACUGAGAGGUUGAUCGGCCACAUUGGGACUGAGACACGGCCCAGACUCCUACGGGAGGCAGCAGUGGGGGAUAUUGCACAAUGGGGGAAACCCUGAUGCAGCGACGCCGCGUGAGGGAAGACGGUUUUCGGAUUGUAAACCUCUGUCUUUAGGGACGAAAAAAUGACGGUACCUAAGGAGGAAGCCACGGCUAACUACGUGCCAGCAGCCGCGGUAAUACGUAGGUGGCAAGCGUUGUCGGGAAUUACUGGGUGUAAAGGGAGCGUAGGCGGGGAGACAAGUUGAAUGUCUAAACUAUCGGCUUAACUGAUAGUCGCGUUCAAAACUAUCACUCUUGAGUGCAGUAGAGGUAGGCGGAAUUCCUAGUGUAGCGGUGAAAUGCGUAGAUAUUAGGAGGAACACCAGUGGCGAAGGCGGCUUACUGGACGAUAACUGACGCUGAGGCUCGAAA